GGUGGCUCAGUGGUAGAGCACUUGCCUUGCAUGCCGGAAGCCCUGGGUUCAAUUCCUCAGCACCA
rnacentral:tRNA from 1 species